AGCGGCAAAAUGCUUUUCCUCAUUCAUCCUUCAUUUGUGAAACCGCCUAAUUUUUUUCUUCAUAUGGAAACCCCAUUCAAUUCCCAAUCAAUUAUCAAUCAGUUGAAAUUCUUCUCUAUAAUUAUGAAUACCUUUCCAUUAUCACUUAUAAACUCUAUAUGUUUAAUCAUUUGAGAGAUCUUCAACAUGUUGAUAUUGCAAAUCACGAACCCUAGAUCUAAGCUGCUCUUCCCCUUUGGCGAUUAUACUUGGACGCAUUCUUCUAUCGCAUAUUGCUUCUUCAAUUUGUUCUUCCUCUCGGUAAUUGAUUUCAUUAUCGGCGGCUAGGGUUUGCGGCAACAAACGUUGACGAUUAACAUAGUCCAAGCAAUAUUGAUUUCAUGCUCUAUGUUUCCAGUUGAAGGUCCAAUUUUAAUUGCAUACUUGUGGUAGUGACAAUGUGCAUUGUGGAUCUGAAAGGGGUCAUGUUGGAGGUCGUAACCAUCCAUAAAAAGUAUCUGCAUCCAUAAAAAGUAUCUGCAGAUGAUCUGGAUGCUCAUUUAGAGAGCUAUGAUAUUACAGCUUCUAUGGGGUGUGACGAACAUGGUGGUAGGAAGUCUGCGGAGUAUGUAGCGAAGAAUAUGCACUCAAAUGUGUUUCAUCUAUGUUUAACAACGGGAGGGAACUUGUAAGCGAGAUAAACGGUAUCACCUCAGGCAACUCCACAAGAUCACGAUACAAAUCAUACUCUGCUAAGCUUCAUAGUCAUGCAAAUAAAGCUAUGGUGCUAAAACAUCACAGAAUGCAGUUGGUUAAAUACAUCAAAACACCCUUUUUUAUAAUGUGGCAUAUGAUUCAUGGUAGGUUUAAUAUGAACAAUGGUAAUAUAAGCAAUAAUGACAUCUAUAUUGGUUAAUUUUGGUGUUAUUUUAUAUUUAAUUGUAAUAUACUAUAUAUGUGUCAAGUACAAAAUAUACUGGCUCCAGGAGUUUCUAAUCCAAAAAGAACCUGGCGUAAAUGCAAA